GCUGAAGUGAUCACAACUCCUGUCUAAUUUUUAUAGAGCCUCCCACGUGGAACCACAUGGGAAUCUGGCACACAUGGUAGCAACAAUCCCCUUAUAGAAGUAUCAGAUUGUUUUCUCAGAAGGAGCUAUCUCUUCCUCGGACUACGGUGCAAAGAGAAAAAAAAUCUCUGUAAUUAAGAUAAACAAAAUAGGUUGAUUUUUUGCCUGUGCCCUUCCUAUUCUAAGAUGUGGAUAUUAUACCCAUGAAACAGAAGUUGUACAAAGUCCAACUUUAAGAAUUCAGAACUGUGGCUGGAGGGAUGGCUCAGGGAUUGAGAGCACUGACUGCUUUUUCAGAAGUCCCGAGUUCAAUUUCUGGCAA